GCAUUCUUGGUGAAAGGGUAUCAUAAUUGCCUUCCAAGCAAUUGGCCCGGGUUCGAGUCCCGGAGAAUGCA
rnacentral:tRNA from 7 species